UUUCAAUGGCUUAGUGGUAACUGUCCUAUAUAUAUAUCAUACUAACCCGGGUUCGAUUCUCACCUUCGCAUUGUUUUUUUAUUUUUUACGAAAAAAAUGAGAUGAUAUGGCAAUUUCGGGUUUUCUGAUUGGUUGAUUUUUCUAUCCUAUGUGGACACCCUCUCCAUGGCUUAUAUCCCCUUUUAGUAUAGUAUAGAUGUCCUGACAUUUUGAUGCACCUUGUAUUUAUUUAUAGAUACUGAUAUACUAUCAUACUAAGGAGACUAAUUAAAUACCAACUUGGUUUGUAAUUGUGCCUCAGUUUCAUUUCUUAUUCUUUCGCUUACCAUGACUCCAUGACCCUACCUUCUUAAGAAAGCAUCACCUUUUGCCUGAAAGGAAAUAAUGCUUUAAUUUUUGUUUUCAAAUCGUUGAUAACUUCAAUUUUGGAGCCUUAAGUCUUCAACCGUAUUAACUUUUGGAGCAAAUUUUAGACAUUCUAAUUACUGCACCACCACGCAUAGAAGUAGAACCAUCUAUUUUAUUCUUAAUAUAUUAAUUUAUUAUUUCUUAUUGACCAAACACAAGCGAAAUUGUUGAGUAUAACUAAUUUAUAUAAUCAAUACAAUACUAAAAGGGGGAUAUAAUCAACAUUCAGCCUAUCCACGUCAGACAAAAAAAUCAGCCAAUCAGAGUUAGUCUUUUUACCACGUCAUUUGAGCUGAGUUAUUAAGGGUAUUUUGUGUGGGCUUUGUUUUAACAAUCUUCAGCCCAACCCCACCCUGUCGACAAACUCUUUUACGGCUCUUCACUUCGUCUUCUUCGUUCUCUGAGUUUAAGCGUUACUUUGAGCCUCUCCUGAUCAGUCAAUGAUCAACCUUAAAUUCUUCUAAUUUUUUUUUUUGUUCCACCUCCCCUUGAUCCUGCACCUGUAGAAAGCGUUGUAUCUAAACCUAAAUUCACUCAAAAUCAAAAACCUACUUUGAAACUACAUCCAUGUCCACGAAAUCCACCGGAAAAUCUCAGAUCCCCACUGACAAGACUCAAAUCGCUGUCUAUUUUAAUGACAUCUCACAGGACCAGCUCAGUCAGAGCUUCCAUUUUGGUAAGUCCAUUUCGGCGAGGCAAGAAACAUUGCUAUAUGUUGGACCUUUAUUGGGUUAUAGAGCUCCUCCUUAUCGAUGAACAGGUAUGAUUUUUUACCGCUAAUUUACUUCCGUAAUUAUUCUAAACCAGCCAUCAAUCGUACGGUUCCAUUAAUUGAUUAAGCAGGUUACGGUGCGAGUGUGUGUUUUGGCAGGUCGGAGUGAAAUUGAUCCUUGGAGAUGGCCAAGGCCUGCUGUCGAGGUGUAGACGGUUUUGGUAAAAAGUAUUUCUUCUUCCUAGAGGGUUUCUGGUUUUCUAAAGAUCAUCACUCUAAUUAUGUUUUUAAGUACCUUCAAAACACUUAGGUGGGAUUCAUGUAAACACUUUGUUUUAAGUAUGGUUUUGAAUACAUUGCUAUUGAUAUAGGUUAACCAAAGUUGUGAGAUGUUUAAGCUGUUUGAUUUCUAUUGCUGUCGCACAAACCACAAAACCCAACGUGGAGUUCAUAUAAUGACGAUGUAAGUGAUAAUUGUUUCUUUUUAAAAUUAACUGUAUACUAUAUGCUUCAUAUUUUCCUAUAUUAACUCAUGUGCAAAUUGUCGUAAUCAAUACGAGCUUUUCUCUGAUGACAUUACCAGCAUAUAAUAGGAAGAGCUCGAGUUAGUUUUCUCUUACAUGGCUCUAGGGAAAAUGUGUUGCAGCUUAAUAUUGUUGAAGAGAGCGGGUUGAGUUUGGUCAUUUGACAUGAACAAGAAUGAAAUGUGUUUGGUUUUAAUGUUAAGUUAUUCAAUUUUUCUUAGGAGCUCAAAUCUGCUGAACGCCUGAACGCAUCAAAAACAUUCCCGUGGGAAAAGGGGCUCAAUAUGAUGUGCCUCAUGGUCGCAUUGGAGAUCUAUAACAAGCAGCCGAGAAAGAGGUAUGAAGUCUCAUUUAUCCAUACCUUUUGAAACCUACCUUUUAUAAUCAAAUACAAAUCUGAAAAUUCUUUGUUCAUUUUAGGUUCUGGAUGUUGGCUCAAAUGUACCCGAAGAACAAUAGGAACGAAGAUACGAGAGUCUGGAAAACUCCUCAAAUGGAAGGACUUAUCGAUAGCAAUUCUAGAGUAAGAAAACGAACCACCAGUUUUUAGAUCUUAAAAUGAACGUUUAUGUUCUGGUUUUUAACUCUUAAUUUAAAGAAUUGUUUUCAUUUCAAUUCAUUUGUCUUCAGAUAUCAUCAAUGAUCUAGAUCGAAGUGGAUAUGGACAGUCAAGUUCUUGCAGCCGAGGCAGUCAACUAUUGCUUGAGUUAUUUCUGCAAGUUACAUCUGAAUAUUUUUGAAUAUUGUGCUCAAGUGGAAACUCCAUUAUUCCACAGGAAAGCAUUGCUCAACAUAUAUUGCAGAUCUUGGAGCUCGACAACCUUGAAGAGGUAUAUAAUUUUAAGAUCACUUUACACUCGAAUCAAAUAUAUAAAAUAGUGCAAUCUUCCAGUUCCAUUUGGAACAAAGCAAAGCAUAGUUGCUUUAUGUGUUAAUGUCACUUUUGUGUUUAUUGUAUGUGAUGCAUAAAUGAAAAUUACAAGCGGAAGCAAAUGAUAAGGCCGAGACUUCUCCGCGCUUAUCUAUAUCACCAAACAAAACAGGUGAGUAAAUAGUCAUCAUCAUUAUAAUCUUCCAUCAGCACAACAUCGUUCAUCCUCAUGGAAGACAAUCUCUCGGUGGCAUAUGUAUGAUAUUAAUAAUGUCUGCUCUUGAAACUGCAACGUAGAUUCACCAAUGAUAUGGGACCGUGGAAUGGACGUGGAAUGAACGAAUGUUCUGGUAACUUACAGUUUAAUUACAAAAUGUUUUAUUCCUUUCAAAUUAUCUUUCAAUAGAGCUGCACUGAGAUAUAUGUACACUGUAACAACGUUUACUCUGUAGAAAAUGUGUAUAUUAAUGAUGAGCAUAUGAUGAUACAUGUAUGGUAUUACAGAAUUUACUCUCUGGGAGGACGAACAGAGCUUGAUGUGAGCAAGACACUGGAGCUCGAGAAGUUUUUGUGGAUAUCUUAAGUUUCUGUUUUGCUAUGCCAAAGUUCAGUGUCAACUACUUAUAUCUUAGUUUCGUGCUGAUUUCCAUCAUGUUUGGAUCAGUAUUUUCAAGAUGUUGGAUUAUACCUUAGUAAGUACUAAGGAAGAAGCUGUUAGAAGGGAGGAUGUUAUGGGAAAACAUUAUCAGAUUAUAAAAGCAAUCAGCCCCGCCUACGGAUUGACUGAGCAGAUGCUUCAUGAGGCCAAUGAGGAGAUAUUUACUUUUGGUUCUUAACGGCUGGGUAGCCAUAUAGAUUAAUAUAAGAUUAAACUUUAUUUUAUUCAUUCUUUUUGUACCGUAAAUUCUUUGGUGUAGAGGAAAUGGACAUCGUAAAGUGGUGCAAGCUGUGUGUUUAUUUAUUGUGGUCUAAUACUUUAGAUGUUGCUCAUACCAAAAUGGUAGUCAAUCUAUAUAUUGUUUAGAAAUUUUGAAUAUUAGUAUUUUUAUCACUUUAACAAAUAUAAAUCUACAUAAAUCUAUUUCCAUAACUACAAAGAAACGAAACGAAACAAAAGUUUAUCCACAUUAGAUAUCAAGGUAUUCAGUAUACUAAAAUAAUUUAGUCACAACAACUAUACAAUAUUCAUCAGAAUUAAAGUAAGAGCUUUAAUUAAACAAUCAUGCAAGAAUAUUAACAAAAUAGCGGUAAAGAAUAUGAUAAUUAUUAUUUAUUUUUCAUUUGAUAAAUGAAUUAAAGAUUGAAAAAUUGAGUAUUCACACAUAUUAAAAAAUUCAUAAAAUUUUGAUUAUAAAUAUAUUAUUUUUGUGUUUAGCUAUUUCUCAUAACUUUUAGCCAAUUAAAAUUUGAUAAACAUAAUUAAUGUCUUCGGAGUUUACAAUGUACUAUUAUUACAUACAGUGAAAAUGUAAAUAUUGAUUUUUUAGAAACAAAUUUGUUUUUUAAAAUAUGGAUUAUUUUAAAACAGAGGGAGUAAAAUUUAUUGGGUUCUAUAUUUUUUAGUUUGUUUAUAUGAGAUGACGAAGUUGCUGCUUUCAGACAAUUAUUACUCAUCAACAAACGGAAACAAUUUUUUUUUCUUGAAACUUUAAGAGCAUUAAUGUAUGAUAUAUUUAAAACUAAUUACAAUAGUAAAAAAAUAUUAGUAAUUAGGCAUGGGACGGAACGGCUAUCUCGAGAAUUUUAGAAUAUGCGGAUCCGAAUCUUUAUCCGACGAAUCCAUGUUUUUACUAUCUUUAUCCCGAUCCGGAGUUAAAUAUCUGGAUAUUGGAUAUCCUUUCAAAAAAAUUCAUAUCUGGUAGAUAUUCGGAUUUGGAUCCUGACAGUAAAUAUAAAUAAAAAAAUAUUAACAAAGUUUUUAAAAUAAAAGUAAAUAUAAUUGUUUAAUUAUUUCUACGUAAGCUAUUACAAAAUUUAUAUAUACUAUAAUAAAAUGAAAAUAUAAUAAAUAAAAUUGCUUUCUUAUAUAUCCAUUUUUUUUUUAAUAAUUAUCAAUAAACUUUACAAAUUCAGAUAUUCAGAUUCGAUUUUGACCGAUCCAAAAUUUUGUAAUCCGAAUUUAGAUUUGGAUCCUGUUUGGGAAGAUUCAUAAUUUUACUAUCCGGAUCCAGAUCUGACCCCUCUGGAUAUUUGGAUUUUCUAAGAAUAUCGAGAUCACUUAUCGAAUCCAUAUCUAGAUCCGGCCCUAUCCAGAUUUUCAGAACGAAUCCGGAUCGCUGAUCGAAUUUGGAUCUCGGAUAAUAAAUCACAUGCCUAUUAACAAUAUUAAAGCGUUUAAAUUUUAGUCUGUAGACAUGAUUUGAAUUUUCAGUUUUUUUUUUUAAACUAAAAUAAGAAAUAAAAAAAACCUCAACAUUACACCAAAUACUAAAUAUACGAAGUACAAUGGCAAAGAAGAAAAACAACGUGUAUUCCUCAUCCUUUGGUGUGUUAGUUAUGGUAAUCAUCCUAAAUCUUAAUCCUAUUUUAGAAUAACAUAAAAUAUGUGGUGAAGAAAAAAAAUUCAUAUUCCAAAUAAUAAAUCAAUAGGAGUAUAUAACAUUUUAUUAAACUAAAUAAAAACUCAAAAAAAAAUGACAAAAAACUAAUUAAAAACUCAAACAAUAUAAUUGACAUAAUAUUACAAAACGUUUUAAAGAAAUAAAAGAUUAAAAUACAUAAUUUAAAAGAUUUAAAUUAUUGGUCACUAAUAAUAAUAUUAUUACGUCACUUCCAAUCAAUAUUAAUAUUAUUUUAUAAUUUAAUAUUUUUACUAUUUAAUAAUGCAUAGACAAAUUUUAAACGGUUUCAGUUUUAAAACAGUUAUUAAUCAUCAAUUUAUAAAAUUUACGUAAAACAAUAAUAAUAAAUGCAGGUGCAUUAUUGAACAAAUUUGUUUGUUCUGAUGUGUUUACUUAUAUGAAAUUUUAAUUCCUAAAAUGUUUCGAAUCUUAUACAAAAGUAAAGUUUGCCAAACAUAAUAAAAGAAAAGUAAUUCAAACUAUCUUCUUAAUUUUACUGUGAUAGUCAGGUUACUCUUUUUCAUUUCAUAUAAUAGAAACUUAUUUGAGAUUAAUAUAAAUAAAAUUUUAAAACGAUAAAUAAAAUUUUAAUACUAAAUUUUCUCAUUUAUACAAAAUAUUUACAAUGAAAGUAGAAAUAGUAAGUUGCAAUUGAUUAAAUAAACA